rnacentral:piRNA from 1 species
UACCAAUGACUCGAUGGUUUUAUUCCGUC